rnacentral:rRNA from 1 species
GACCCUACGGGACGAAGCAGUAGGGAAUUGUUGGUAAUGAGGGGAAACCUGACCGAGCAACGCCGCGUGAACGAAGAAGUUAUUCGUAAUGUAAAGUUCUUUUAUCAGGGAAGAAAGAGGAAUUUGACGGUACCUGAGGAAUAAGCUCCGGCUAACUACGUGCCAGCAGCCGCGGUAAUACGUAGGGAGCGAGCGUUAUCCGGAAUUAUUGGGCGUAAAGGGUGCGUAGAUGGCAUAGUAAGUCUUUUGUAAAAAUGCUGGGCUCAACCCAGUAGGGCAAAAGAUACUGCAAAGCUAGAGUAUGA